UACGAAGGUGGCAAGCGUUGUUCGGAUUUACUGGGCGUACAGGGAGCGUAGGCGGUUGGGUAAGCCCUUCGUGAAAUCUCCGGGCCUAACCCGGAAAGUGCGGAGGGGACUGCUCGGCUAGAGGAUGGGAGAGGAGCGCGGAAUUCCCGGUGUAGUGGUGAAAUGCGUAGAUAUCGGGAGGAACACCAGUGGCGAAGGCGAGUCUCUGGGCUGAUACCGACGCUGAGGCGCGAAAGCCAGGGGAGCAAACGGG
rnacentral:rRNA from 1 species